rnacentral:miRNA from 1 species
UGAAGUGCAUCUUCCUGAAUAGA